UCAUAGAGGGUGAGAAUCCCGUAUUUGGUCAUUCUUUCUAGCUGUGUGAUACACUUUCAAAGAGUCGGAUUGUUUGGGAAUGCAGUCCAAAAUGGGUGGUAAAUUUCAUCUAAAGCUAAAUAUUGGCGAGAGACCGAUAGCGAACAAGUACCGUGAGGGAAAGAUGAAAAGAACUUUGAAAAGAGAGUUAAACAGUACGUGAAAUUGUCAAAAGGGAAGCGUUUGACACCAGUGUUGUUUUUCCGAAAAUCAAUUGUGCCUGGCUGGAUUUUGUAGGAGUUUGACCUUAUCAGCUUCUUCUGCUUUUUUCCGGUCCGGUGCAAUGCACUUUUCGGUUAACAAGUCAACAUCAAUUUCUUUUGUUGUAAAAGGGUAAUUGGAAGGUGGCUUUCUUUUCGGAGAAAGUGUUUAUAGCCUUUUACCUCUACAAUCGGAGAGAUUGAGGUCUGCAGCGUAGAUCCUUCGGGGUUAGAUACAUUUGUGCUAAGUUAUAGCCGGGUAUAGACAACUUGUUGACUAUACUCGGUCAUGUAGCUUACUCGCUUAUGCUAUUUUACCUACGCUUAGGAUGUUGA
rnacentral:rRNA from 1 species